rnacentral:tRNA from 3 species
ACUUCCAAAGGAUAACAGCAAUCCAAUGGUCUUAGGAACCACUAAUCUUGGUGCAAAUCCAAGUGGAAGUA